ACCUGAUCAUGAUACCGAAGGACGGCUUGUGACGGUGGAGUUUGAUGACUUCUAUUUAUUGUGUGGAUAUGUUCCAAAUUCUGGUGAUGGACUACGACGAUUGACGUACAUAAUUACAGAGUAGGAUCCUUCUCUUGGCAAUCACAUGAAAGUAACUAGAAAAGUUGAAACCGUUGUUUUGACAGGUGAUCUAAAUUGCGUCCACAAGGUGAUAGAUAUUUAUAGUCCUACUGUAAGUACUUACUGUCACGUUAUACUCUUUAUUUAAGAGCUAUACCCUGUAUUUAUUAGAGAAUCGACAUAGUGAUUUAUCUGUCUAAAUAUAUCAAAUCUUGACCUUAUUUCCUUCAACAACCUGAGCAGAUAAUGUUGUACAUCUUCUUUAUUGAUUUGAAAACUAUUAAACAAUUGUUUCCGCUUUACUGUAUGUCUUAUAAUUCAAUUGGUCUGCGAUAUUUAAUCCUUGCUUGAUGUUCCACAAUUCUAUGUUAAACUUUAUGAAGUAGGCUUCAUCUUAUUUGAGUAUUCAAUAGAGUUUCUGUCUGCAUCGAUGAAGAUUCCUUUAGAAAUUAUCAUCUCCAGAUUGUGUCUUGACACUACUAUAUUCAUGGUUUAUAGUUGACGCUAAUAUA